rnacentral:lncRNA from 1 species
UGACGGUUGUGCAUGGACGGCCCUGGUUCACAGUCCAGCUCUGCCAUCCCUAGCAUGAUACCUGGUUUUAAAUGGCAAAACAAAACAAAACAAAAAAACCCAAUACCCUUCUUUCGGAUGUCCAAUCCAGAAAUAAAGUGGACAGAGUAGUUAACUGGGCUACUUCUUCUCAUUCACUUCAUUUUUUGACUCAAUUUCAGAUGAAGCCCUGUGGAUUCUACCUCUGGAUCAUCUCAUCCAAAAUGCCACCCGUCAGUUUCCACUGGUCCUCCUUGGUUCAAGGCGUCCUCAUCUUCACCCUCCACUGAAGCAACAACUCCUCACGGAUCUUCCUGCUUCCAAUCUUGCCUUUCUCUUUUCUCUCUUACCCAAACCCAUAGGCAUGUCCUCUUCAGAUCAUGAAUAAUAUUCCUAAAACACAAACAGGAUCAGAUUCCCCCCUUGUAAAAUUCCUUCAGUGGAUGUCUUCUAACUUCAAGGGAAAGGCUAGGACCCUUGGAUCUUCCAAAUCCAGACCAGGCUGACUGCUCUAGCCUUCUUCCAACAUCCACGACACCCAUUUUGCACCCAAUGCUCUAGGCACUGGGAGCUACUCACAGUUCCCCUGACCUGACAAACUGUUCAGACAUCCACACAUUUCCUAGUGCUGUCUGCACCUGCAUAAAUUGCCCUCUGCUUUCCUCAUGUCCCCUCUACUGUUAAAACCUGCUCAUCUCUUAUUACUCAGCUCCACUGUUCUCUUCUCGCUCUACAGAAAAGGUUCCAGGCUCCAGUUAUGACUCUCCUCUAUGUCCCAAUCAGAACACAUUCGGUUCCCAUUAGAGUCUCUAGGACAAUCUAAUCUUGCAUUACCUUUUCCUCUAUAGGACCACAGCUUGUUGAAGAAAAUGAACAGUCUCCCUGGUACCAUUUGUUUUUGUAUCCCCAGCAUCUAUGGCAUUGAGUACAUAGAAUCCUUGGGAUGACCAGCAAUUGAGCUGUGGGCAGAACAAGAACAAUCAGCAAAGGAGACUGAGAAGCACCAGCCAGAGAAGCAGGAGGAGAACCGGUAGAGAGACAGCUACUGCAGCCACCAAAGGGAGAAAUGUAGGCAUCUGGUUGGGUUGGGCUAGAUUUUUUAGGUCUGCAUGAGGCCUCAGGAUGACCCUGUGAGAGCACCCCAAGUCACCCAGGAGAGCCAGCAGAGCAUCUGUGUAUGACAUAUGACCCCCCUACCACCACCCUUGACUGUUCAAACUGGAGAAGGGCUGAAAACACGUGGGCAGCCAAGCACCUUUUAUGGGUUUCUGGAAGGUCAUCUCAGCCACAGCAUCAAGUACACCACGUGAUGCUCACUCACAGUAUGAGCCCCCAUGAGGAAAGCAAUGACCCCAACACUGAGAGCAUGGUAGGGUCCCAUCUGCUCCCACAUGGCAGACAGGCCCCGAGGAAUGAGCAUGACUGGGUCUGCCAACCAGAUGCAGAUGCAGGGUGGUAUGGUUGAAUCAGGCAGAUGGCUGUAGGAUCAAUUCUCCAUCUCACCAUUUUUUUGUUGGGUAAUUCUGAUUAAGUUAGUGAACUUCCUUAGCUUGCUUUGUACCAUGGAGACAAAACAUCCACCUCACACAAUUGCUAGAGCAUGCAGGCGAGGAAGGACUUGACAUCUAUUGUAGCUGAUAAUAAAGACACACUAGUGCUCUCUUCUUGUGCAUGUUCUUAGUCUUACAGAUGUAUGCUGAUUUUGAAUAUAAAACCUAUAUAGUUGAUGUUUACUUUUUGGAUAUCAUAAUGACCCUAGAGCCCACAGGAUAUAUGAUAUGAACAUUCAUUCCUUCAGCUAAUAUUUAUUGAGCAUCUGUGCUAAGUACUGGGAAGGCAAUAGUGAUUAUCCAAAGGUCACAUUUUCCUGUGUGUUGAAGGUGCUUCAUUGAGGAAGACAAAUGUGUGAGCUUCUAGGCAGGAGAAGUGACAUUCACAAAGACACAUACUGUGUAUAAUUGGAGGGUUAGAAGAUGGCAGAGAUGAGAGAUAGCAGGGAAGUUGCACAAGGGCCGGGGAAUGGACCACAGAGAGUGUUGAAUGCCACCCUCAAGAUAGCAGCCCCUGUGGGCCAUGGGCAGGACAGUGACAACUGACUGCUUCCCUUCCCUCUCUUUUUUUCUUUUUUUGUCUACUUUUAGUGUUUAAAAUUUCAAUUAAUUAAUGAAUCAAAGUUGGCAACAAAAGAUUUUGCUACAUUUGCCUGUCCCGAUUCUUGACAAUUCUCUCUGAGGAGGAGCACUGGGAUACUCGUACUGUCUGGCAUCUAUUAGGUAUUGUUUAAUAUCUGUUCAAAUGAACAAAAUGUACUUGUAUUGAGUUGAACCAAAGUGAAGCCCUUUGGGACAACUUUGGAGCAAUAGUGGAUUAUAUUAUUCUGGAUGACUUAUGAAAAAUAUUUACCCUUAAUCAGUCUUAGAUGAACUGAAAAUUAUUCAUAUUCAGUUCAGUUAAUGGUGGUUAUUUAGCUAAGUCUUGAUUACGUAUAACGGACAGGAGCUAGUCAACAGAUAACGACGUGGCCCUGGGUUCCCUCUGCCCUGGCCUGAACAUCCUUUUUAUGA